CAGGGCGCUAUUUUCUGAAAAUGCCGCGUCUGGUCGGCGCCCAAAAUCCCCACCGAAAAGUCCCCCGUGCUGCGCGCGGAGGGACACAUGUCUAGGCUCAUUCGUGAUCUAACCCUAUCCAGACCCUGAUUUGGGCCGACCUGCGGUCAAGAAUGAUAGUACAGUAUUUGAAAUACCACGCAUAGUUCCUGACAUAAAAGGCCUGUGCUCAAUCUACUGAGCUACACCAGCCAGGGCUGAGCUGGUUCUUGAAGGAUGAAGAGGAGUUUACCAUAUAGAGAAGAUGGGAAAGUAUAUUCAUUCAAGAGUUGGCCUUUGAUUUCGAAAAGAUGGAAGAAUUUAGACACCAGAAGUGGGAGAAUAUAGAAUUGCAUCAGCAAAAGUAAAGAAACCAGAAGAAAGCAUGAGGUGAAAUAGUUCUUUCUGUAGUACUGGUGAGUAAAAAUAAUAAAUGAAUUUGACCCAGUUUGUGGUGGGAUUGAAGACAAUAGGAAAAUUCAUUAAAGCUCUUCAAACUAGGACGUGAUAAGGUUAGAACUUUGACUUAAGAGGAUUAAUCUAGUUUUAUACCAGAUAGUUUGGACAAGGGCACACUGGGAGCAAGGAGGGCAGUUAAGAGACCAUUAAAAUAUCUGGAUAAGAAGUAAUGAGAUCAGGUAAAAAAUGGUAGGAGGAAUGGAAGGGAGAGGCCAAGUGGAAGAUGUUUUAUAGACCUGGGAUUAUAGUUAUUGGCUACCAGAGUCUCUGAGAGAAUAGUGUACUCUUAACAGAAAUUAAUGUAAGAGAUAAGGCUUGGGAGAAGUGAAAAAAAUUCAGUUUGGGUACAUUUGCUUUGAGAUUCUUCAAUAGAUUAAUUUCCAUAGACUGAUAGAAACAAUAGAUGAGACAGUAGUUAGAGACAUGGGAAAUGAGGAGGGAGAAGCAUUAAAUGUGAUUACUUUUUUUGUGAACUUUAGCAAUGAAGGAAAAGAGUACAUAAGGAAAGAAGUUGAGGGUUUUAUUGUAUAAUGUACUGGAGACACUGACUUUGUUUGUGAAUUAAAAGAGAAAAUGAAGAACAGACCAAAAACUGAAGGUGAAAGAAGAAGGGAUAAAUGAUAAGAGAGCAAGAUCAUGCUAUCAGAGUAUUAGUAAAGAAGAAGAUAUAAAAUGCUCCCAGAUACAACACAAAACUUCCAGGUUUAAGACAUAAUGAUCUCAGAUUCUACUUCAGAUGAUCCCAAUAUCUUUCAGUUCCUUUGCAAUUACAUAAACCAUACUCAGACAUCCGGCCAAGAUGGAGGUAUAGGUAGAUUCACUUUUCCUUCUCAUACAACCAAAAGCACAACAACAAAUUUAAAAACAAAAAACCCCAGAACUGUCAGGAAAUCAAACUGUAUGGAAGCCUGACAACCAAGGAGUUAAAAAAGAAAUAUUCAUCCAGGCUGGUAGAAGAAGUGAAGUUAGGCAGCCAGGGCAGAGAGGACAGGCAUUAAGGCAGCAGCUAGAAGGCUGGGCACUCCCACAUUCACGUGCAGAUAAACCAGAAGGAACAACUGGGGAGCGAGACAGACUGCACAACCUAAGAUUCCAGCUUGAGGAAAUAAAGCCCAAAACCUUUGACUGUAAAAAUCUGUGGGAGUUGUGGCAGGAGAAACUCCCAGCCUCACAUGAAAGUUUGUUGGAGAGACCCACAGGGACCUAGGACGUAUACAAAACUACCCACCUGGAAAUCAGCACCAGAAGGGCUCAAUUUGUUUGGGGAUAUUGGGGAAGUGACUAAAAGCUGAGCAAGUGGCAUUGUUCCCUCUCUGAACCCUCCCCAACAUACAGUACCACAAUGCAGCAACAUGGGUUUAUCCUACCCUGGCAAAUAGCUAUAGCUCUGUCUCUUACAGCAUAACAAGCACACUGAGACAAAAAAAAUAUGGCCCUAAUGAAAGAACAGAUCAAACUCCAAAAAUAGAACUAAAUAAUGAAGAGAUAGACAACCUAUCAGAUGCAGAGUUCAAAACACUGGUAAUCAUGAUGCUCACAGGAUGCUUGAGUAUGGUCACAAAAUAGAGGAAAAAAUGAAGGCUAUGCAAAGUGAAAUAAAAACAUACAGGGACCCAAUGGUGAAGGGAAGGAAACUGGGACUCAAAUCAACGAUUUGGAGCAAAAGGAAGAAAUAAACAUUCAACCAGAACAGAAUGCAGAAAUAAGAGUUCAGAAAAAUGAGGAGAGGCUUUAGAACCUCUGGGACAACUUUAAAUGUUCCAACAUCCGAAUCAUAUGGGUGUCAGAGGAGGAAAGGAAGAGCAAAAAAUGGAAAACUUAUUUGAAAAAAUAGUGAAGAACUUCCCCAACUGACCAAGGAAAUAGACUUCCGGGAAGUCUAAGAAGCUCAGAGAGUCCCAAAGAUGUUGGACCCAAGGAGAAAUAUAACAAGAUACAUCAUAAUUACAUUACCCAAGACUAAAGGAAAGAAUCUUAAAAGCAGCAAGCGAAAAGGAAACAGUUACCUACAAAGGAGUUCCCAUUAGACUAUCAGCUGAUUUCUCAAAAGAAUCCUUUUAGGCAAGAAGGGGCUGCAAAGAAGUAUUCGAAGUCAUGAAAGGCAAGGACCUGCAUCCAAGAUCACUCUAUCCAGGGAAGCUAUCAUUUAGAAGGGCAGAUAAAGCACUUCCCAGGUAACAUUAAGUUAAAGAAAUUCAUCAUCACCAAGCCCUUAUUAUAUGAAAUGUUAAAGGGACUUAUUUAAGAAAAAGAAGAUGAUAAAAAUAUGAAUAGUGUAAUGACAACAAACUCACAACUAUUAACAAUUGAACUUUAAAAAAAAAACUAAGCAGACAACUAGAACAGGAACAGAAUCACAAAAAUGGAGAUCACACAGAAGGUUAGCAGGGAGGAGGAGGGGAUAAUGGAGGAAAAGGUACAGGGAAUAAGAAGCAUAAAUGGUAGAUACAAAAUGGACAGGGGGAGGUUAAGAAUAGUAUAGCAAAUGGAAAAGUCAAAGAACUUAUAUGUAUGACCCAUGGACAUGACCUAAAGCGGGGAGGUACAGGGCAGAGGGGAAUAAAGGUGAGAAAAAAUGGGAUAACUGUAAUAGCAUAAUCAAUAAAAUGUAUUUUUAAAAACCAUACUCUGACUGGAUUGCAAAAUGGCCUACUUAGUAAGAGAGGCACUUUGCCGAAGUAAAGUAGGAGUUGUGUAAUUGCUUUCUCUAGGGUUCUGCUGGAGAGAGCUGCCUGUUCAAAUACUUCAGAUUUGAUAUCCCAGUAUUCUGUGACUGGUUCUUUAAAAAUGCUUUUCAAUUUGGAUAGAUGUUAAUUUUCAAACUUUCCCAACUCAGACAUUUUAAAAAUCAGGAAUAAAACAAGAAAGCUCUGGAGAAGAAAAACCAGGUCUUUGAGCACAGCCUCACCUGUGACUUUGUGUUUGAUUGGGCCUUAAUGUGUGCAGGUGAACAAACAAACCCCUUUAGCUCGGUGACAUAAACAGUUGGGGAAAAUAUGUUUUUAAUUAAAUACAUAAAGCUUCUAGAAGAAAACAGAAUAUAUGAAUGACCUUAGAAAGGGCAAAAAAUUUUUAAACAGGACACAAAAAUCACCAUGAGUGGGGGAAAAUAUGGUAUAUCCGAGCUAUUAAACAAUCCUAAACUUUUGUUCACCAAAAUGCACCAAUAAGACAAUAAAAAGACAAGACGCAGAGUGAAAGAAGAUACUCUCAAUAUGUCAGUAAAGAAGAUGCAUACCCAGAAUAUCAAGAAAUUCUACAAAUCAGGUUUUAAAAAAUGACAGUCCAAUUAUAACAUGGCGAAUAGUUUGAACAGGCAUUUCAUGAAAGAGAGUAUCCAAAGAACAUUAUGCAAUAAACAUUUUAAAGGGUACUCGGCUUCUUUAGUCAUCAUAGAAAUGUAUGUUACAACCAGAACAAAGUAUCAUUUUAUUUUUUUAAAGAUUUUAUUUAUUUAUUUUUAGAGAGAGGGUAAGGGAGGGGGAAAGAAGGAGAGAAACCUAUCAGUUGCCUCUCUCACACCUCCAGCUGGGGACCUGGCCUGCAACCUAAGCGUGUUCCCUCACCCGGAAUCAAACCAGCAGCCUUUCAGUUCACAGGCCAGCACUCAAUCCACUGAACCACACCAGCAAGGGCAAGGCAUCAUUUUAGCUAUCGGAAUGACUAAAAUGAAAAGAACAGGAAAUGUGUUGGCAAGGAUGUGGAGUGAGUUAACUCACACAGCUGGUGGGAGAAUAAGAUAGUUCAACCUCACUAAAAGACAGUUCAGUAACAGGUAUAAAAAAGCUUGGAAUUUACACAUUAUUUGUUUUAGAAAUGUCAAUUCUGAAAAUUUAGUGUAAGGUAUUUAUCAUGGAUGUGCAGUAAUAUUUACAUUACAAAUGUAUAUGUGUAAUGUUUGGAACUGCCCUGCCUGAUUUCAGAAGCUGUAACCCCCUCGUGGCUAAGACUGAGUGAGCAAACUUUGGACCAUAAACCACUAAGGAGACAAAGCUUACCUCCCUGGCAGGAGCACCACCUCUGGUCCUUUUACUUCACCCUGCCUGGCCCCCAGUGCUUGAUCGGUUAACCAAUGACAAGCAUUGGUCAGGAGUAGAUGACUUCACAAGGAACAGCAAACUAGAGACAUUAUCUUUGAUGUCACAGACUUUUCUGAACAAGAUGCUGCUCUGGAGGUAGCUGUUGUUUUCUAAGAGACUUUUGUGGUGUAUAUGAGACUUUCACCAUCAGGAUAUGUGGCUUGUGGACGGGAGUUCAGGUACAUCAGUGUAUAAAAGAAACAUCAAUCGGCUGCCUCUUGCAUGCCCCCAGCUGGGGACCUGGCCUAUAACUCAGGCAUAUGCCCUGACUGGGAAUCAAACUGGUGACCUUUGGUUCAGUUUGCAGGUGGAGUCCAUGACCACCAUCAUCAGAGUCACCACGGACAGCUUAAAACACAAAUUAGUGGCUCCCUCUUCUCACUACUGGAUGUAAACUUGAAGUUGGUUCUUCCACAUAAUUGAGGAAAGACACACUAGUCUGUCUGCUGGCUAACCCAGUGUUCUCGUUCUCUUCCUUCAGCCUAACAACAAACUGGCUCCACAAGGAGGUUGUAAGGUUUCAUGCAGAAACUAGGGUUGAUAAGGAAAACCUCCCAGGUGACUUGUUGGGAACUACCCUGCCUGGUUUCAAAAGCUGUAACCCCCAUGGCUAAGGCUGAGUGAGUAACCUUCAGACCAUAAGCCACUAAAGAGACAAAGCUUAUCUCUCUGUCAGGGGCGCCAUCUCUGCCACUUUUACUUCACCCUGCUUGGCCCCCAAUACUUGAUCAGUUAGCCAAUGAUGAUGAGUAAGAUUUCUCAAGGCAGGGAUGACCUAAGACAGGCACGGUCACGGGAAGCCCCCAGGGAAGGACUUGGGGGCUACAGAAAAGGGCUGAUGGACCCUUAUGUCAUCAUUCAGGCUUUGACAUAGCCUGAAUCCUCAGUGUCUUCCAGAAGUCUCCUAAUCUCUUGGCUUCCUUACCUCCCAGGCCUGACUUAAGCCUAAAAUAAUGCCGAUGGUGGGUGCAGCCCUGUGUUUGAGAAGGGCAGGUUCCCUAGGGCAAUCAGGCAUAAGAAAGAAUGUGUAAAAUCCUGUGAAACCUGCCGUAUUUAGAAUGCUCUCAAUUAAAUGAUAAGGGUCCAAGCAGGAAGUGAGUUUGUUCUCCAAAGUUUUAUGGUCAUUUAGCUAUAUGACGCUGACUCAAAGUAGGCCCUCAGAGUCCUUUGUAUCUUAUCUAUUGUUUGAUCCUUAUUGCCUGAUAAUGAUUAAUGAGCUUUAUGAAUACACCCUGUAUUUCUAUGCAAAUUGAAUCCAGUAAAAGCCUCUCAAGGUAAGGGUCAGGUCGCUCUCCUCUUGAAAGGGUGGCCGAGGCUUGCUGUCUCCUUGAGCGAGAAGUCCCACUGUCCCUUUUCCUCCACAGGACUUGGUAGUCUGUGUGAAUUUAUUUUGUCUCAUCCAUAAUGCUGUGGACACUGCAGGCUGGUGUCCACAUCAGCAACUAGUGUCAAAAAGCUUGUUUUUAAAUCGAUAAGGUUGUAAUCCCAAUAGAAAAGCUCAAAGAUUUUUAAAUCUUCAGGGUGAUCCCUGCUGUCUCUCUACUUCUCCAUAAAUAUGUAAGGUGGCAGGGAUUCAGGAUUCUUUUCUUGGAACACUUCCCAAGGUGCAUCCAGACCCAGGCACAAGUGUCCAUGGGUGGGUCGACAGCUUGGGGAUUCACGCAUUUGGCUAGCCCCAAGUCUGUGAAGUUUUCUUUUGAGCCUGCACUGUUUUGUUGUGUUUAUUCAAGCCACGUAUUGCAUGAUAAUAUCUAAAUCUGAAAAUCACUUGGCAUAUAUUAUUUAAUACAUUUAUCUAUGAUUUGGAAGAAUAAACACCCCCAUCAAAAAUUGCACUCCUACUCCCAUAGGUGACAUUAUAUUACUUUAGAUAGUUAGGAGUCAUAUAAAUGGGAAAAAUUGCAGAAAGACAUUUUGGAAUUUUGACUUAAAGUAUC